GAGGCGACCGCUAUUGGAAUUCGAUUAAGCCAUGCGAGUCGAGAGUCUUAGGGACUCGGCGUACCGCUCAGUAACACGUGGGUAACCUGCCCUGUGCUGGGGAAUAACCUCGGGAAACUGAGAAUAAUGCCCCAUAGUUCACCACGCCUGGAACGGUGGGUGGAUCAAAGCUCCGGCGGCACAGGAUGGGCCUGCGGCGUAUCAGGUCGUAGGGGGUGUAAUGUACCCUCUAGCCUUCAACGCGUACGGGUUGUGGGAGCAAUCGCCCGGAGAUGGAUUCUGAGACACGAAUCCAGACCCUACGGGGUGCAGCAGGCGCGAAAACUUCACACUGCAGGAAACUGUGAUGAGGGAAUUCCAAGUGGCCAGACAAAGUCUGGUCUUUUACCAACUUUUAAUCGGUUGGUGAAUAAGGGGUGGGAAAGACCGGUGCCAGCCGCCAGUAAUACCGGCACUUCAAGUGGUCGUCGCUUUUAUUGGGCCUAAAACGUCCGUCGCCUGUUUGGUACAUUCGUGGGUAAAUCAAGCCGCUUAACGGCUUGAAUUCUGCGAGGACGGCCAGACUAGGGACCGGGAGAGGUAUGGGGUACUCUCAGGGUAGGGGUAAAAUCCAGUCAUCCUGAGGGGACCACCUGUUGCGAAGGCGCCAUAC
rnacentral:rRNA from 1 species